GGACGAAGUCUACCUGCAAUUGAAGUCGGGGAUUAAGUCUGGCUCCUGUAGGAGUCCGGACGAAGUCUACCUGCAAUUGAAGUCGGGGACGAAGUCCGACUCCUGUAGGAGUCCGGACGAAGUCUAGAAGGUGGUCGAUCAUCGUGGAAACUUGGGUGGAGUCCGUCCGUCACGAAGAAUCCGGUCGACGCUGGUGGGGGGCUUAUUCGUCGGUAAAACUUGGGAGUAUUGCGGAGGCUCGACCGCCAGAGAGGUUCAGAGAGAUGCCACCGA
rnacentral:lncRNA from 1 species